CAAUGAAGAAACAUGCAUCACAGUGUUAAAGGUGAAAUCAACUCCCAACAUUAACACCAUAAAACUACAAUGUUGAAACCCCUUUGUAGGUGCUCCUACAGUUAAAGGCUAUUCUACACAAAAGGAAGUUCGUGUCUGUUCAUCCUGUGAAAUCCAGAAUGAGAUUCAUCUCACUCUACCUUAGACAUUUAAAACCUAUUUUCUCAAGUUAUUGAACUCAUAGUGUGAUGUCAGCUAACAGAACCGUCAAUUUCUUUAACUAAUGAAUAAAGAUCACCAGAAAAGUGAUGAACUGCUACAAAGUUUUAGAGGAGGAAUGUCACACACUUUGACACGCAUACCCCUGUGCCUAUGAAAAAUAAUUAAUGGUUAGUGAAAACAACUGACUUAUUAAAGAGAAAGAAACUUCUAUUAAAAAGAAUUUGGAGGCUCCAGCAGGACUUAAAAAUCCACUAAACUAACCACAAAGUCUCAAGUUGGUGUCAGUGACAGAAAGUGCAGAAGAGAUAAAGCUGUACCACAAAAGGAAAAUUCAGGAAUUACAGUCUUCUUCCUUGCUUCUUGUGAUAUGGAGGUAAGAACGCAAUAUUUAUGGAUUGACCAGCAGCAAUUCAAAUACAUAUUAUUUGCAUAUGAAA